UCUGGAGGGGGAGGAGGAGGAGGAGCAGGACCCUAUAUAUAUAGAUAGAUAGAUAUUCAUUUAUCAAAAAAAAUAGUCAAGGAAAUGAAAAUAUCGCCCUAAACAAGUUUUAUGCCGUUCCCUCCCCAUGACUGUGGAAGUUCAAAUGAGGAGAAAAUAGCAGCAACAACGGCAUCCACAGAUCUCCUCUAAUUGGCACACAGACACCUAUAAGUUAACCAGGCUGUUGAUCGGAAAGAGUUUACAUCUGCAAGGGGAAGCUAAUCCAAUUUUCACUGAAAUCCUGUAUAUAACUACAUCAGAUUUGUAAGCCCCAUUGAGUUCAAAGGAACCUACAUCCUGAUAAGUCUAUGCCAGAAGCCUUGUUGCAUAGCUGAAUUGAAAAGUACCCAGCAGUACUGAGGACAGACACAGCAAUGAGUCUCCAGGAAGAAAACAGAUAUCAGAGACAGAAGGUCCCCCCCCCC